rnacentral:rRNA from 1 species
AACGGAUCUCUUGGUUCUGGCAUCGAUGAAGAACGCAGCAAAAUGCGAUAAGUAAUGUGAAUUGCAGAAUUCAGUGAAUCAUCGAAUCUUUGAACGCACAUUGCGCCCGCCAGUAUUCUGGCGGGCAUGCCUGUUCGAGCGUCAUUUCAAC